GGCCCUGUGAUGGACUGGUGACCUGUCCAGGGUGAACCCUGCCUCUCAUCUGAUGACUGCUAGAGAUGGGCAGCACCAGCCCUCCUCACCAUCCUGCAAGGAUCAGUGUGUUCAGAUCAUGGAUGGAAAGCUUUUAAGGUAAAGAGAACAUCCAGAAAUGUUUUUACCCCCCAGGCAUCGGGUCCCAAUCAUCAUCAGUUCUGAUGAUGUCACAUACAUGGCGAGUCCACAUCGUCUUGAAAUUGUUUCUGUAAAGUGCAGUGAAUGUGAAUGUUCU